rnacentral:rRNA from 1 species
UGGGCUUGACAUCCCACGAACCUUCCCGAAAGGGUUGGGUGCCCGCAAGGGAGCGUGGAGACAGGUGGUGCAUGGCUGUCGUCAGCUCGUGUCGUGAGAUGUUGGGUUAAGUCCCGCAACGAGCGCAACCCUCACCCCUUGUUGCGACCGGGUAAAGCCGAGCACUCUAGGGGAACUGCUAGCGUCAAGCUGGAGGAAGGCGGGGAUGACGUCAAGUCAUCAUGCCCCUUACGCCCUGGGCUACACACGUGCUACAAUGGGGCCGACAAAGAGACGCAAAGCCGCGAGGUAGAGCAAAACUCAAAAACGGUCUCUAAGUUCAGAUUGCAGUCUGCAACUCGACUGCAUGAAGGAGGAAUCGCUAGUAAUCGCGCAUCAGCACGGCGCGGUGAAUACGCUCCCGGGCCUUGUACACACCGCCCGUCACACCACGAAAGCCGGCUGUACUCGAAGUCGCUGAG